CCCACUUCGGCCGGGCCGCCUUUUGACACGGAGCAGCAGCCUGGUCCCCUGUGCUCUGCGUGCGCCACCCUGCGCUUUGCCAAGACACUGGUCCUGUGGAGGACAGCGGCCGCCGCAGCUCUGGACACAGCUGUCCAGUGGGACUCCUGCCCGGCGUCCCUCCUGUGGUUGCAGGCGGCAUCCUCUCGGAAUUCCUUAUUUCCACCCUGACCCCCUCUCCGAACUCGGGACCUUCAACACAGCGGGACACCUUCCCCACAGUGACUCAGGACCACCUCACCAAACUUGAUGGCAGCAGUUUGAUGGCAGAGUCUCAAGUUGCUGGAGCUCAAAGGGACCUUGGAUUUUUCCAGGUCUACUUUGAUGGGAGUUUUUAUAUUUCAAAAGGUUUGAUCCAUCCUGCAAACAGGUUCUCUCUAAAUUGCC
rnacentral:lncRNA from 1 species